rnacentral:rRNA from 1 species
AAGCCUGUCUCAGUUCGGAUUGGAGUCUGNAACCCGACUCCAUGAAGCUGGAUUCGCUAGUAAUCGCGCAUCAGCCACGGCGCGGUGAAUACGUUCCCGGGCCUUGUACACACCGCCCGUCAAGCCAUGGAAGCCGGGGGUGCCUGAAGUGCGCUGCCGCAAGGAGCGCCCUAGGGUAAAACCGGUGACUGGGGCUAAGUCGUAACAAGGUAAC